rnacentral:rRNA from 1 species
GAUGAACGCUAGCUACAGGCUUAACACAUGCAAGUCGUGGGGCAUCAUGAUGUAGUAAUACAUUGAUGGCGACCGGCGCACGGGUGAGUAACGCGUAUCCAACCUACCCUCCACUCAAGUAUAGGCUUCCGAAAGGGAGAUUAAUCCUUGAUAUCGUCAUUCUCUCUCCUGUUAGAAUGAUAAAAGGACAUCGUUUCGGUAGAGGAUGGGGAUGCGUUCCAUUAGGUAGUAGGCGGUUUAACAGGCCACCUAGCCGAUGAUGGAUAGGGGUUCUGAGAGGAAUAUCCCCCACACUGGUACUGAGAUACGGACCAGACUCCUAUGGGGAGGCAGCAGUGAGGAAUAUUGGUCAAUGGGGCGCAAGCCCUGAACCCAGCCAUGUAGCGUGAAAGGGAUGG